GUGAAUCAUCGAAUUUUUGAACGCAAAUUGCACUCUCUGGUAUUCCGGAGAGUAUGCCUGUUUGAGGGUCAGUUUAAAUAUAAAUCGGUGUGGUUGCUGAUUUCUGCGGUGACGUACCGGAUUUGGGUCGUCUUGCCUUUGGUUAAGUGACCUAAAACUUUGCAUGAUUUUUUCGAACGUAUUUAAAUGAUUAUACGUAGGUUUGCGAUAUCGAGAACUAGGUGCGGAAAUCCUCAUGAUUUGCGCUUAUAAUGUUUCA
rnacentral:misc_RNA from 1 species